GGUGCCUUUAAUAUAUAAGUAUUGCAAGUCUGUUUAACGUCUUACUAGAAAUCGGCUGGCAUUCAUCUGUGAUAUUUCAUGUCAUGUGCUUUCUGGAAAACUCCACUGUGCACUUGUGAGAGAAAAAGAAUAAGCAAGGCAGAGAUACGGUCACAUCCUAGUGUUGUCGUGAAAAUAGUUCUGACUUCUAGGGAAGCUGUUCCUCCUUGGAUCUAGGGGUCUGAAAAGAUUCAGGUUUGACCCCCACCUCACCCCAUGACUACAUGGUAGGUGGUGUUGGGUUCUUCCAUCAGGACAAGCAUGAUGUCUGGUUGUGUCUCUGUGAUCUCAGCAGCUGUUGAUCAGCCCUGGAUCAGAGGUUGGCAAACAUUUUGUCUGACGGGCCAGAGAGGAAGUGUUUUCAGCUGAGGCUGAUGUGGUCUCUGUCACAACUGCUCAGCAGUGCGGCUCGAGUGGAAAAGCAGCCGAAGACAAUGUGUAAUUUUUCAUGAUGAAUAUAUAGCUUCAACACUGUGCAUCAAAACUCCAGGUGGAACUCUUGGUGCAGGUUGUUGGGCUGAUCUGCUUGGAAGCAGCCAGAAGAUCCUGCCCUCUGCUAGCGAGAAAAAAAAAAGAAAGAAAAAAAUGAACUGCCUUUGUCCAGUCCCUUCCCCCGUCGAUCAGCGGGAACAGACCCGGAGUGUUAAACUGCUAGCCUCCCCUCACUCCGUUCCUGUUAAAUAACAGCAGCAUCAUGGCAGCGGCCUCACUACCCAUCUCAGCCUCCUGGGGGCCCUCCGGAACGCCUAUUCCAGUGGCAUCCCGAGAACCCUACUCCCACCAGCAGCAGGGACGGCCAGAGAGGA